rnacentral:ncRNA from 1 species
GGGAUACACUUAGAGUCCCCGGCAUAGGAGUGUUAAUAGCGGUGUCUUUGGCCGGGCAUCGUGGUUAGUGAAUC